rnacentral:rRNA from 1 species
ACACAUGCAGUCGAGCGGAAACGAGUUAACUGAACCUUCGGGGAACGUUAACGGCGUCGAGGGCGGACGGGUGAGUAAUGCCUGGGAAAUUGCCCUGAUGUGGGGGAUAACCAUUGGAAACGAUGGCUAAUACCGCAUAAUAGCUUCGGCUCAAAGAGGGGGACUUCGGGCCUCUCGCGUCAGGAUAUGCCCAGGUGGGAUUAGCUAGUUGGUGAGGUAAUGGCUCACCAAGGCGACGAUCCCUAGCUGGUCUGAGAGGAUGAUCAGCCACACUGGAACUGAGACACGGUCCAGACUCCUACGGGAGGCAGCAGUGGGGAAUAUUGCACAAUGGGCGCA